rnacentral:rRNA from 1 species
GACGAACGCUGGCGGCGUGCUUAACACAUGCAAGUCGAACGGAAAGGCCCUGCUUUUGUGGGGUGCUCGAGUGGCGAACGGGUGAGUAACACGUGAGUAACCUGCCCUUGACUUUGGGAUAACUUCAGGAAACUGGGGCUAAUACCGGAUAGGAGCUCCUGCUGCAUGGUGGGGGUUGGAAAGUUUCGGCGGUUGGGGAUGGACUCGCGGCUUAUCAGCUUGUUGGUGGGGUAGUGGCUUACCAGGGCUUUGACGGGUAGCCGGCCUGAGAGGGUGACCGGGCACAAUGGGACUAAGGUACGGAGCAGAAUGCUACGGGAGGCAGCAGGGGGGAAUAUUGCGCAAUGGGGGGAAGCCUGAUGCAGAAGCGUCGCGUGCGGGAUACUGGCCUAUGAGUUGUAAACCGAUUUCGCCUGUGACGAGGCGUGAGUGACGGUAAUGGGUAAGGAAGCACCGGCUAACUACGUG